UGUGUGUGUGUGUGUGUGUACACUCACUAAAUAAUUGGCCUAGGUAUGUGUUUAAAACAUUUCUUAUUUUAUCUUCUUUUCUAGAUCUCGUUCUAAAAUGGUUACUCACAUUUCUUUUAGUAUUUUUGAGAAGGCAUUUAAACUUUCACAAUAUUUACAUCUUAAUUCUAAGAUUUGUGUUCUGUGACAUUGGCAUUUAAGACAGGCCCAGUGGUUCAGUGGGUAAAGGAGUGUCCAGUGUAAGCCUGGCCUCCUUAGCUGGAACCUGGAGACAUGUAAAGGUAUCAGAAGGAAGCCAACUCCACCCCUGUCCUACACACACACACUCACACACACAUACAUAUACACACAUUCACACUCACGUACAUACAUACAUACAUACAUACAUAUAUACAUACACACACAUUCACACUCACAAACACAUUCACAUACACACAUUCACACUCACAUACAUUCACACUCACACACAUUCACACUUACACACACAUUCACACUCACUCACACACACAUACUCACGCAUAUUCACACUCACAUACAUACACACAUAUUCACACUCACACACACAUUCACACUCACCUCACUAUUCUCUCACCAGCCCCCUAAACACUCAGCUCCUUUCUGUAGAAAUCUCGUUAGUCUUUGUGCAGCGAAAGCAAAAGUUCAGAGCACUCCCACACAGCUCUGAAGGGGUGACUCUGACUGGUACAGUGGCGAUUAAAGCCUUUUAGACUCUAUGUUUCAAUGCACAUAGAGUGGACUCUGGACCAAGGGCAUGAAACGUAUUUAAUUCUCAGGACAAACUCAGAAGACAAGGUUCAAAACAACAACAGCACAGACAGCAGCACGGCGUUCCUGAGUCCAGGCUGGGGUUCUUUCUCACAAUAAAACUCUUCAUUUAUUUUGAAAUAUGUCAAGAAUUUUGGAAAGGAGAUGUUAGUUGUUUCUUGUUUUUCUUGUGCAAAAAUGUGAUAGCUUUUCAUUUUAAGCUAUGUGAGGACAUUAGAAAUACUUCAGAAGGUCACAUUAUAUUCCUAGGACUAUGGGUGGGGCUCAGGGCAGAGCUCUUUCCUAGCAAGCGUGAGGCCCAGGCUUCACUCCUAGCAUAGUGGAAAUGAACAGAUUCAAUUAUCACUGUAAAAGCCAAGUUUGUCUUCCAUAAGUGUUGUGACUUCAGCCCCGUGAGGUUUCACCCUGUUACUGUGGGGCUGCUCUCGACCAACUACAACAACUUACCAACAACUGUCAGCUGAACGGUUGUCUUGGCAACACCAGGGGCUGUUUUCACUUUGCACAGGUAGGUGCCACUGUCUGCAGGCUGAACAUCUCUUAUUUUUAUGGACGCUUCGCCAGACGUGAUACCAUUACUUGUAAAAUUCACUCGCCCUCUCAUAUCUUGAUAGAAGUCAGAAUAAAUUUUAUCUACAGCAUACAAAAUAAUCUGAAAAAAAUCCAAAAAACAGAAAUAAAAAAUAGCC
rnacentral:lncRNA from 1 species